rnacentral:rRNA from 1 species
UACGUAGGGACCGAGCGUUGUCCGGAAUCAUUGGGCGUAAAGAGCGUGUAGGCGGCUAUUUAAGUCCUGCGUGAAAUCCUGCGGCUCAACCGCAGACGGUCGUGGGAAACUGGAUGGCUAGAGUGCGGGAGAGGAGAGUGGAAUUCCCGGUGUAGCGGUGAAAUGCGCAGAUAUCAGGAGGAACACCGGUGGCGAAGGCGGGUCUCUGGGCAGUAACUGACGCUGAGGAGCGAAAGCGUGGGGAGCGAACAGG